UGCUUUUCAGGGAACUUGCAUCCCGUUUGUGAUGACCUGCUGAGUCCUGAGGUUGCCAGGGCUGAGACGAACAGCUCAGAGAAAUCGCUGCCCACUUUGUACACGUAAGAAACCCGAACUUCCCAUAAUCUCCAGGACUCAAGGACAAGUGCGCGUCUCACCUGCUAUAGAGAAGCUACAGUUUAGAGCAGAACACCUAACAUAGAUCCUACACCUGGUCUUGCAGGUAUGAAGACCCAAGUCAUACUCUAAGUGUUCAAGAAGAGGGAGGGGACAAUGGCCAUUCCUACCCAAGGCUGCCUGCUAUUGUGACAAUAAUCUACUUGUAUGAACUUCAAUAAAAUAAAAUGGUUUAGAAGUCAUUUGAAAAAGAAGGAACUUGAAUGGAUAAACUGAUGCAUCCAGAAAGUGGGAUGAUUAUUUGGCACUAAAAGGAAAUGUACUACCAGCCAUGAAAAGACAUGGAGGACCCUUAAAUGCAGUAUCAACAAGUAAAAGAAGCCAAUCUGAAAAGGCUACAUAGUGUGUUGGAACUCUAUGACAUCCUGGAAAAGGUGAGACUGGAGACAGUAAAAUGAUCAGGAGUUGCCAGGGUUUAGGGAUGGAUAGGCAGAGCACGGGAUUGUCAGGGCAGUUCUGUGUGACGCUGUGAAGGUGGAUGCGUGUCAUUAUACAUUUGUUCAAACCCACAGAAGGCAGAACAGCAAGGUGAAUCCUAAAAGAACUAUGGAUUUUGGAUAACUGUCCUCGUGGGUUUGUUAACUGCACUGUUUUGGUAGGAUGGUGAUAGUGGGGAGGCAGGGGCGUACAGAAAAUCUCUACUUUCUACCCUGUCACUGGGAAUCUAAAAGUACUCAAAAAGUGUCUCUUAAAAAAGAACAGAGGGGCGGCUGGUUAGCUCAGUUGGUUAGAGCGUGAUGCUCAUAACACCAGGGCUGCCGGGUCGAUCCCAAUGGGCCAGUGUGAGCUGCACCCUCCACAACUAGACUGAAACAACUACUUGGCCUGGAGCUGAUGGGUCCUGGAAAAACACACUUAAAUAAAAGUUAAAAAAAAAAAAAAGACUAAAAUUUAAAUGGUUUUAAAAUGUGAGCCAGUUAAGAACAUAGUAUUUUAAGGAUACUCCUAGAUAAUACAGUGUUAAGUUUGGAAGUUUCUAAGACCUCAGUAACAUGCAGAAAACAAUUCACAUGCCAUUAAAUUCAUGAUUUUUUGAGAACAGAAUUCUGUCAGGACCUCUACUUGUCAAUCUUUCUCUGAGCAGUUACAUGCAGACCAUUCCAGUUUUGAUGUGUGGUAACCAUGGCACGUUCCCAUCAC